rnacentral:rRNA from 1 species
AAAUUGAAGAGUUUGAUCAUGGCUCAGAUUGAACGCUGGCGGCAGGCCUAACACAUGCAAGUCGAGCGGUAGCACAGAGAGCUUGCUCUCGGGUGACGAGCGGCGGACGGGUGAGUAAUGUCUGGGAAACUGCCUGAUGGAGGGGGAUAACUACUGGAAACGGUAGCUAAUACCGCAUAACGUCGCAAGACCAAAGUGGGGGACCUUCGGGCCUCAUGCCAUCAGAUGUGCCCAGAUGGGAUUAGCUAGUAGGUGGGGUAACGGCUCACCUAGGCGACGAUCCCUAGCUGGUCUGAGAGGAUGACCAGCCACACUGGAACUGAGACACGGUCCAGACUCCUACGGGAGGCAGCAGUGGGGAAUAUUGCACAAUGGGCGCAAGCCUGAUGCAGCCAUGCCGCGUGUGUGAAGAAGGCCUUCGGGUUGUAAAGCACUUUCAGCGGGGAGGAAGGCGGUGAGGUUAAUAACCUCAUCGAUUGACGUUACCCGCAGAAGAAGCACCGGCUAACUCCGUGCCAGCAGCCGCGGUAAUACGGAGGGUGCAAGCGUUAAUCGGAAUUACUGGGCGUAAAGCGCACGCAGGCGGUCUGUCAAGUCGGAUGUGAAAUCCCCGGGCUUAACCUGGGAACUGCAUUCGAAACUGGCAGGCUAGAGUCUUGUAGAGGGGGUAGAAUUCCAGGUGUAGCGGUGAAAUGCGUAGAGAUCUGGAGGAAUACCGGUGGCGAAGGCGGCCCCCUGGACAAAGACUGACGCUCAGGUGCGAAAGCGUGGGGAGCAAACAGGAUUAGAUACCCUGGUAGUCCACGCCGUAAACGAUGUCGAUUUGGAGGUUGUGCCCUUGAGGCGUGGCUUCCGGAGCUAACGCGUUAAAUCGACCGCCUGGGGAGUACGGCCGCAAGGUUAAAACUCAAAUGAAUUGACGGGGGCCCGCACAAGCGGUGGAGCAUGUGGUUUAAUUCGAUGCAACGCGAAGAACCUUACCUGGUCUUGACAUCCACAGAACUUUCCAGAGAUGGAUUGGUGCCUUCGGGAACUGUGAGACAGGUGCUGCAUGGCUGUCGUCAGCUCGUGUUGUGAAAUGUUGGGUUAAGUCCCGCAACGAGCGCAACCCUUAUCCUUUGUUGCCAGCGGUCCGGCCGGGAACUCAAAGGAGACUGCCAGUGAUAAACUGGAGGAAGGUGGGGAUGACGUCAAGUCAUCAUGGCCCUUACGACCAGGGCUACACACGUGCUACAAUGGCAUAUACAAAGAGAAGCGACCUCGCGAGAGCAAGCGGACCUCAUAAAGUAUGUCGUAGUCCGGAUUGGAGUCUGCAACUCGACUCCAUGAAGUCGGAAUCGCUAGUAAUCGUAGAUCAGAAUGCUACGGUGAAUACGUUCCCGGGCCUUGUACACACCGCCCGUCACACCAUGGGAGUGGGUUGCAAAAGAAGUAGGUAGCUUAACCUUCGGGAGGGCGCUUACCACUUUGUGAUUCAUGACUGGGGUGAAGUCGUAACAAGGUAACCGUAGGGGAACCUGCGGUUGGAUCACCUCCUUA